GAUGAACGCUGGCGGCGUGCCUAAUACAUGCAAGUCGAGCGGUAAGGCCCUUCGGGGUACACGAGCGGCGGACGGCUGAGUAGCGCGUAGGAACGUACCCCAAAGUGAGGAAUAAGCACCAGAAAUGGUGUUUAAUACCGCAUGUGGUCUUCGGAUUAAAGCCUUCGGGCGCUUUGGGAGCAGCCUGCGUAUGAUUAGCUUGUUGGUGAGGUAAUGGCUCACCAAGGCGACGAUCAUUAGCUGGUCUGAGAGGAUGAUCAGCCAGACUGGGACUGAGACACGGCCCAGACUCCUACGGGAGGCAGCAGUAGGGAAUUUUCCACAAUGGACGAAAGUCUGAUGGAGCAACGCCGCGUGCAGGAUGAAUGCCUUCGGGUUGUAAACUGCUUUUAUAGGUGAAGAUUAUGACGGUAACCUAUGAAUAAGGAUCGGCUAACUCCGUGCCAGCAGCCGCCGUAA
rnacentral:rRNA from 1 species